UACGAAGGGGGCUAGCGUUGCUCGGAAUCACUGGGCGUAAAGGGUGCGUAGGCGGGUCUUUAAGGCAGGGGUGAAAUCCUGGAGCUCAAUUCCAGAACUGCCUUUGAUACUGAGGAUCUUGAGUACGGGAGAGGUGAGUGGAACUGCGAGUGUAGAGGUGAAAUUCGUAGAUAUUCGCAAGAACACCAGUGGCGAAGGCGGCUCACUGGCCCGUUACUGACGCUGAGGCACGAAAGCGUGGGGAGCAAACAGG
rnacentral:rRNA from 1 species